GUCUAUGACCAUGCCACCCUGAACAAGCCCGAUCCCAUCUGAUCUCGGAAGCUUAGCAGGGUCAGGCCUGGUUAGUACUUGGAUGAGAGACCACCUAGGACGACCAAGUGCUGUAGGCG
rnacentral:rRNA from 1 species